GACGAACGCUGGCGGCGUGCUUAACACAUGCAAGUCGAACGGUAAGGCCCUUCGGGGUACACGAGUGGCGAACGGGUGAGUAACACGUGGGUGAUCUGCCCUGCACUUCGGGAUAAGCCUGGGAAACUGGGUCUAAUACCGGAUAGGACCACUGCCUGCAUGGGUGGUGGUGGAAAGCUUUUGCGGUGUGGGAUGGGCCCGCGGCCCAUCAGCUUGUUGGUGGGGUGAUGGCCUACCAAGGCGACGACGGGUAGCCGGCCUGAGAGGGGGGCCGGCCACACGGGGACGGGGCAACGGCCCAGACGCAUACGGGAGGCAGCAGUGGGGAAUAUUGCACAAUGGGCGCAAGCCUGAUGCAGCGACGCCGCGUGAGGGAUGACGGCCUUCGGGUUGUAAACCUCUUUCAGCACCGACGAAGCGCAAGUGACGGUAGGUGCAGAAGAAGGACCGGCCAACUACGUGCCAGCCGCCGCCGUAA
rnacentral:rRNA from 1 species